rnacentral:lncRNA from 1 species
GGAGGAAUUGCAGAGCAAAUUUGAGCCUCUAUCUCUCUCCCUUCGACUGCACAUGAGCCGGCUGUGGAGUGACUCCACUCCUUUUUUGUGCUGCAUAUGGGGAUCCCUUCCCGGUCCAUCUGCAUCUCAAAAAGUUGCAAGAAGUAUUAGCAGCAGAAUCAUUGCCGGUCAUCGAUUCGGCGUCUUCCGCCGUCACCAACUCCGAAUUCGAAGACAACCCAUCGUCGCCACGGCCUAAUCCAAAAACCUCAGUUGGCUGGCCGGCCGACGGAAAGCUCAGUGUCGAAUGGGUUAGGAACCUCAUGUUCGUUUUUUAUUGGGCAUCUAGAUCUGGACCCGACCCAAUUGCCCGACGUGUUUCCCGUAGAGGUUGUCGAUAGCUUGGUCCUCUGCACAUCCAAGAUCCUCCACAAAGAGGCCAACGUCGAUCAGUUAGGCCUGGAAUCUACCGUGGUGGUCGUCGGAGAUCUUCAUGAUCCUCCACAAAGAGGCCAACGUCGAUCAGUUAGGCCUGGAAUCUACCGUGGUGGUCGUCGGAGAUCUUCAUGGUCAGCUGCACGACCUCCUUUUUCUUUUAAAUGAUCUUCACCCUUUUAGGUUUUUAGGUUUGUAGGUAUUCAGUUUUUUAUUAUUAUUAUUAUUAUUUUAAAUAUUCACGUGUGCCUAUAUUGACAUGAGGCUCUUAUUCAUUAUCCACAUAGUCGCUAUGUCAUCAGUUAACAGAAUUCUGACGAAAAACUUAACGAAUUUGUGAAUGGUCCCAUAAUUAUGACUUUAAUUAGUUACCAAAUUGGGAAGAAAAAACUUAAUGUAUCAAAUGUUGAAAAACAAAAAAAUACAAAGUAGUAAACCGAGAUUAAUCCUAAGUUAUGUGUGCACUUUCUUUUGUUUGUUCCCCUAGGAGCAUAAUUUCCACCAAAUUAAUAAAGUGUAUAUAUUGUUUACAGAGUAUACGUUACCUGCUUUCCGUUGAUGCUAUAAGAGCAGAAGCAAUUGGUGUGAAUGGGAUGUCUCUGACCAUGUUAGAUAUCUUAGAGUACAGCAGCAUUGCAAGAGAUGAGUUUAGCAGAAGCUUAGAAAUUCAACAGAUUUUGAUUGACGCGGGAUUAAUCAGAAGGGAAAAUAAUGAAAAUGAUAAGCCUAACUCAGAUGUUGCCGCUGCUGCUGUUGUAUCACCGAAUCCAAGAAGGGUGAAGAAGAAAAAGAAGCUUCACAAACAAGUAGCAUCAUCGGAGAAGGGAUCAACGCCGGCUAGGAGGUGCUGGAUAAAAUUGAUGAAAUGGUUGAGACAUCCGAGUGAUUGGGUGGUCG